UACGAAGGGGGCUAGCGUUGUUCGGAAUUACUGGGCGUAAAGGGCGCGUAGGCGGCGUGUCAAGUCAGGCGUGAAAGCCCCGGGCUCAACCUGGGAACCGCGCUUGAGACUGGCAUGCUCGAGUUCGGGAGAGGAUGGUGGAAUUCCCAGUGUAGAGGUGAAAUUCGUAGAUAUCGGGAGGAACACCGGUGGCGAAGGCGGCCAUCUGGACGGAUACUGACGCUGAGACGCGAAAGCGUGGGUAGCAAACAGG
rnacentral:rRNA from 1 species